rnacentral:lncRNA from 1 species
GAGUGUGAAUUUCAACGUAGAAAUCAUAGAAGAGUUAAAUAGAAUAAAUGAUAAAUAAAAUAUAGGAAAGAUGCCAUAGGCACCCCAUGCGAUUUCCUCGCUUCUUUUCUGAUGCGGUUAAAGAAUAUAGGAUGUGAUGACUCCAUGCUCGGGUAGUGCUGAGUCUCGGGUGAGACUCCAUUUUUUUGCUCCAAGUGUAUAUGCAAAGAAAGGGAAAAAAAAAUUAGAGAAAAGAAAGAUUAUUCUAUUCAUAAAAGAUGUGAAGAGACACAACUAGGAGAAUUGAUACCAAAGCAGGAACAAUUCCAUUUCUUUUUGUCCAUAGGAUGGCCCAUACUAUGCCAUUUGAAACUUAAAAAAUUAUUUUUCUAAUCACUCAAAGUAGCAAAUUGAAAGAGCACGUACUUAACUAUGCUUAACAACAUAUAUUUUCAUAAAAUAAUAUUAAAAGAUAAUCUAAAUUUAUUCUAAUCACUUAAAGUGAAGUAAAACAAUCAUUCUAAGACAUAAUCAUGACAGUAGAAUGAUAUAGUUUUCCUUUUGCAUACUCUUAAGUGAGCAGUAAAAUAAGCUUAAGUACUAUCAUAUUUGCUAAAUUAUUCACAUUAAAAAGGUUUUCUAUUUUCUCCCUUAUCAAUGAUAUGAUUUCUAUACAUGGGUGAAUCCUACAAUAAUGUUUCUUUCAUUUAGAAUAGAACUAAAACACGUAUUUUUCAGCCCUAGCAAGAAAUAACUUCGAAUCCGAAAAAUAAGAAAGAGAACAGGAGAAAAAAUCAUUAAAGUUAUAUACUUUUUGUGGGCAGCGAACUGUAGGCUUUGAGGGCUCAGAUCUACUACUCUUUAGGUAUGGAGAUUAUAAAAAUAGAGACUAAAUAUUGAGAAAAUUUCCACAGAUUGCGAAGAUUGAGAUUAAAAGAAAAGAAGAGUAUGAUAUAAACUGAGUUUUUUGGGAUUUUCCACUUUUUUGGGCGGAGAUUUAACAAGGUAUUUAUAGGUGUAAAAUUAGGUUCUUGAGCAGAAUUUUAAUGUUUGAAAUCAAGUAAAAUAACCGUUUGAUAUUCAAAAGUUGGAGGGCCUAAAUCCUCACGUGAUUUGGUGUCUGAAAUGAUGAGAUUCCGUCUGAGACUUGAAGACUUACGGGCCAUUGAGCAAAAAUAUGGAAGAUGAAAGAAUAUAGACAACAUUUACACAAAAAUAGUGAGGCAUCUUUUUUGGAAGGUGAAAAAGCUUUUGUCAAAAGUUGUUUGGCGACUUUGACCAAAAUGCACGACAACCUUCUUGCCACAGGAAAAAGUAUUUGAUGGUAGUAAAUAAGGACAAAAGGUGGGGUAGCGCAUGGAUCCUUGGUGUUGGAUACGAUUAAAUAUGAGAGUUUAAAAUUCAAAAGAGAGAUAUUUUGUGGUAGUGGAAGAAUCUAGAAAACAAGAGAAGACUCGUGCUUAUAUUUUGGGCUUAAUUAAUAAAUUACUAAAGUUGUUUUGUGGUUUGGGCCGGUAGAGUUAGUAGGAAAUUAUUGGGUAAUAAAUAAGCUUAAUUUUCUUUCUUCUUCCAAUUCUUUGGGUUUCUAAUA